UUGGUUUGAUACGGGUGGUCGGCUCCCUGCUUGAGCAGGCACGGCCACGCGUGCAUUCCUUUUCAGAUGUGCGGCAAGGCUUGUAUGGUCUUGAUCGUAUAAGUGGGUUUCCUGUGUUGAAUACCUGAUCAACGGCAUCGUUUCGAUCAAAAGCGUACCUUUUUCGUCUAGUGUUGCACCCGCACCAUUGGAUGAACCGUGUAGCAUUCUCUUUGAUCCAUACAAUUGACAUUCAUUGUUAUUUGUUUGGCCCAUUGAGCGUGUCUUGGUCCCUUGAAUAUGGAAGCCAAAGUGGGCACGGGAUCGCAAGAUCCGUUUAGUGCCCUAAUUGAGCGUUUUCGCUUCUCUUACACGACUGCCUCUCACGUAUGGCACGUCCCAGCGUGUUUGGCUAUGUCGAAGAGGAAUGU
rnacentral:misc_RNA from 1 species